GACGGAGGAUGCAAGUGUUAUCCGGAAUCACUGGGCGUAAAGCGUCUGUAGGUGGUUUAAUAAGUCAACUGUUAAAUCUUGAGGCUCAACCUCAAAAUCGCAGUCGAAACUAUUAGGCUAGAGUAUAGUAGGGGUAAAGGGAAUUUCCAGUGGAGCGGUGAAAUGCGUAGAGAUCGGAAAGAACACCAACGGCGAAAGCACUCUGCUGGGCCGACACUGACACUGAGAGACGAAAGCUAGGGGGAGCGAAUGGG
rnacentral:rRNA from 1 species